rnacentral:lncRNA from 1 species
AGUGAGAAUAAGGGCAAGGUGUCUAGGCACAUUGUAGUAAGUGUCGAAUGACACAAAAUAUGUUGAACCCUUUCAAAGCACAGUUGACUUAUGUAUGAAUGUGUUGGAAUGUAUGAUUGAACAAAUAUACUGUGAAGCUGUUCGUUUAUUUGUAUAGUCUUGUUGACAUAUACUUAGACCUUGUUUCAUGUUGGAAGCAUUCAUGUUGAAGUUUUGAACCCGAGUGUUUCAUUGCUAGGAAUGUAAAAGGAUUAGGUUCAAGUUGUCUAAAUC